rnacentral:rRNA from 1 species
CCCGUUGAUCCUGCGGGAGAUUGCUGCUAUGGGGAUUCGACUAAGGCAUGCAAGUCUUCUAGCAAUAGAGGCGGAAUGCUCAGUAACACGUCGUUAACGUGCCCUAGAGUCAGGGAUACCUUCGGGAAACUGAGGUUAAUACCUGAUAGGGAAAGAAAUCUGGAAUGAUUCUUUCUUCAAAUUCGAGCUCUAGGAUCGGACGGCGGCUGAUUAGGCUGUUGGUGAGGUAAUGGCUCACCAAACCUGUGAUCAGUACGGGCCUUGAGAGAGGUAGCCCGGAGAGGAACACUGAGACACUUGUUCCAGCCCUACGGGGUGCAGCAGCUACGAAACUUCAACAAUGCACGCAAGUGUGAUAGAGGAAUCCCCAGUGCUUAUACAUUGUAUAGGCUUUUGCCAAAGGUAGAUUCUUUGGCGAAUAAGUGAUGGGCAAGACCGGUGCCAGCAGCCGCGGUAAUACCGGCGUCACGAGUGGCAAUCACGUUUAUUGGGUCUAAAGCGUUCGUAGCCGGUUUAGUAAAUCUUUUGUGAAAUUGUCGGGCUUAACCUGACACCGUGCUGAUGACACUGCUAAACUAGAGACCGGGAGGGGUUAGAAGUAUUUCAGGGGGAGCGGUAAAAUGUUAUAAUCCCUGAAAGACUACCAAUGGCGAAGGCAUCUAACCAGAACGGAUCUGACGGUGAGGAACGAAGGCUAGGGGAGCGAACCGGAUUAGAUACCCGAGUAGUCCUAGCAGUAAACGCUGUGAGCUAGGUGUUGCAUAUUCUUCGUGAAUAUGCAGUGUCGAAAGGAAGCUGUUAAGCUCACCACCUGGGAAGUACGGUCGCAAGACUGAAACUUUAAGGAAUUGGCGGGGGAGCACCACAAGGGGUGCGGCGUGCGGUUUAAUCUAACUCAACGCAGAAAACCUCACUAGAGGCGACGGCAGGAUGAAGGUCAGUCUGAAGGGCUUACCUGACGAGCCGAGAGGUAGUGCAUGGCCGCCGUCAGCUCGUGCCGUGAGGUGUCCUCUUAAGUGAGGUAACGAGCGAGACCUGCAUUCAUAAUUGCUAACAACUCUGUAUGAGGAUUGAGCACAUUAUGAGGACUGCCCUGGAAACAGGGAGGAAGGUGCAGGCUACGGUAGGUCUGUAUGCUCCGAAUCUUCUAGGCUACACGCGCGCAACAAUGGUAGAGACAAUGGGCUGCAACUCCGAAAGGAGAAGCUAAUCCUCUAAACUCUAUCUCAGUUCGGAUUGAGGGUUGUAACCCACCCUCAUGACGCCGGAAUCCCUAGUAAUCGGAGUUCAUCAUACUCCGGUGAAUAUGUCCCUGCUCCUUGCACACACCGCCCGUCAUUCCAACCGAGCAGGGUUUAAGUGAAACUUGCUUUUUUUUGAGUAAGCUGAACUUAAGCUCAGUGAGGCGGGACAAGUCGUCACAAGGUA